rnacentral:lncRNA from 1 species
GAUACCAGUUGAAGAGAAGGGAACAGUUUCUCUCCAGAAUGCUCAGGUUGUAUCUAAAAUUUUUUUCUAAUAUUCUACUUAUUUAUGGAUGAAAUCCUCAUCUGAAUCAUAGUAGAACCAGAGAUCAAAUCUCAAAUUAUUUGAUAUAAACCUUCGUGGAGGUCUGAAUAUGCAGAUCCUCUACUUCGCAUGCACGUCAGAUGCUGC